GGUUGAUGCCAGGACAGCAGUUUUUACUGCAGAAAAGCUGCUUAAGGUAGGAAUUCUACAGGCGGCAAAGAGUGGAAAUGCUCCGUGUAGUUCUGAGACCAGGGCAUCCAUUCGACUGCCGAUUAAGAGCACUGAACCUGCUACUGCCCAGCCAGAUGAAGUUGGACAAGCUGCCAGUGACUUCUCAAGUGAACUAAACUUUGUACAGUGUUUGUCCGAAAACCAGGAUGAUCUGGAGAUAGCACCACUCGCUUUUUUGGCUGGAUACCUAGCACGUGUUUUUGAGGAGAAGAUUGCAUGUGGGGCAUGCAAGAGCUUGCUGCAGUUGCCAAAGCCUAGUGGACCGGUCUCUGAGCUAAUCAGGAAGCUCGACAAUGGACACUUGAAAUACCCCAAAAUGGAAGUCAUUGGUGUUUGCAGGCUGGUGUGUAUCUUCGUUAGCAGGAUGAUGAAAUGUGAGCAUGUUAGACGCAGUGGAAAUCUGUGCACAACGUUGGUCACGGCUCUACUCCCACACAUGAUGUGCAGCCCAAUAUUCAUGUGUGAGCUGGAAAAUGCUGACCACAGUAAGCAGCUAUGUGAGCUAUUUCUUAAAAAAACUGUUGCGACCGUUGCUGGGAAAUUGGGCCGGCAAUAUCACUUCAACUGUGGAGCGCUUUGUAAAGCUGGUGCAUAAGCCACUUUCGAGAA